rnacentral:rRNA from 1 species
GCACAAGCGGUGGAGUAUGUGGUUUAAUUCGAAGCAACGCGAAGAACCUUACCAGGUCUUGACAUGGUGUUUAAGGCCCUAGAGAUAGGGAGAUAAUAAACACACACAGGUGGUGCAUGGUUGUCGUCAGCUCGUGUCGUGAGAUGUUGGGUUAAGUCCCGCAACGAGCGCAACCCUUGUCUUUAGUUACCAUCAUUCAGUUGGGGACUCUAGAGAGACUGCCGGUGAUAAACCGGAGGAAGGUGGGGAUGACGUCAAAUCAUCAUGCCCCUUAUGACCUGGGCUACACACGUACUACAAUGGCGCAUACAACGAGCUGCGAGAUGGUGACAUCAAGCGAAUCUCUUAAAAUGCGUCUCAGUUCAGAUUGGAGUCUGCAACUCGACUCCAUGAAGUCGGAAUCGCUAGUAAUCGCGGAUCAGCAUGCCGCGGUGAAUACGUUCUCGGGGUUU